UACGGAGGGUGCGAGCGUUAAUCGGAAUUACUGGGCGUAAAGCGCACGCAGGCGGUUUGUUAAGCAAGAUGUGAAAGCCCCCGGGCUCAACCUGGGAACUGCAUUUUGAACUGGCAGACUAGAGUCUUGGGAGAGGGGGGGUGGAAUUCCAGGUGUAGCGGUGAAAUGCGUAGAGAUCUGGAGGAACAUCAGUGGCGAAGGCGGCCCCCUGGCCAAAGACUGACGCUCAUGUGCGAAAGUGUGGGUAGCGAACAGGAUUAGACUACCCGGUAGUC
rnacentral:rRNA from 1 species